rnacentral:rRNA from 1 species
UACGAAGGGGGCUAGCGUUGUUCGGAUUUACUGGGCGUAAAGCGCACGUAGGCGGAUCGUUAAGUCGGGGGUGAAAUCCUGGAGCUCAACUCCAGAACUGCCUUCGAUACUGGCGACCUUGAGUCCGGAAGAGGUGAGUGGAACUCCUAGUGUAGAGGUGGAAUUCGUAGAUAUUAGGAAGAACACCAGUGGCGAAGGCGGCUCACUGGUCCGGUACUGACGCUGAGGUGCGAAAGCGUGGGGAGCAAACGGG